CACAAUCAAGGUAAAAAACAGAUCAGUGCCUCCCAAACUCCCCCCUCCCACAACCCUCCCGCCUUUCAUGGUAAGAAUAUUUUAUAUGAGGCCCAUUCUUAAUCUGACUUUAGAUGUGCAAUACAUUCCUGUUGACCACAGGUCCCGUGUUGUAAAAUACAUCUCUAUGGUUAAUCAUCUACUACAGUGAGAGUUUCAUUUUGCACUGAUGUGUAAACUAUGCACCCAUUUCAUCCCACGUUGUCGCCUAUAGCCAAGCUUCUGUAUUAUGGCUGUACAAUACUUCCCUGUGAGCAUUCGUGAUACAUGUUUUUAUCCAGCGAUGAAGGAUUCAUCUGAUCCUUUAAAUCUUGGCUGUUGCAAAUAAUUGUACAACAAACACACACGUGCAGACAGUUCUUCAAGGUCCUCCUGUCAGUACUUCUGGCUGGGCCCUUAGGCUUGGCCUGUCGAGUCACGGGUAUGUCUUCUUUUAGUUUUAGAGGAGGCUCUAGUGUUGUCUAUACUGAUUGGCCCCUUUGAUACUAUUAGCUGUUCAAGUUCCCAACAAACCCAUCCUCUUUGCUAACCCUUGUGCCUUUUUUUUAAAAAUUUUUUUUGUUUUUGUUUUUGUUUUUUGUUUUUUUUGGAUAAUUGGACAACGAUUUGCCUGCCUCUGAGCUGUGACUGACGUGGCUUAUAUCUCUGUCAUCUUUAUUCCUAGAAUCUAGGAUACUACUCACAUGCCAGUAACUGUGCCAGAAACAUUUCUUACCUUUGCCCUGAGUAUGGUUUUUCGAGAUGCUUUAGGGGCAAUAACUCAUGAAACAAAGAAAAAUAAACUAUGCUUUGAGUUCCAGUCUUCACCGCUCAGUUACAGGUGCCGUGAGAACCACGAGUUACAUAUAUGCUUUCAUUUAGGUCAGCAAUCUGUAAGCUCCAGAUAUUCAAAGACAGAAGUGCUCGGCUGGGACAUAUUCCGAGGCUUAAGCAAUGGUGUGUGAUCACAAUGUGAGUCAUACAUAGUAUAGGUCAGCAAUAGUGUGUGAUCACAAUGUGAGUCAUACAUAGUAUAGGUAAGCAAUAGUGUGUGAUCACAAUGUGAGUCAUACAUAGUAUAGGUCAGCAAUAGUGUGUGAUCACAAUGUGAGUCAUACAUAGUAUAGGUAAGCAAUAGUGUGUGAUCACAAUGUGAGUCAUACAUAGUAUAGGUAAGCAAUAGUGUGUGAUCACACUGUGAGUCACACAUAGUAUAGGUCAGCAAUAGUGUGUGAUCACAAUGUGAGUCACACAUAGUAUAGGUAAGCAAUAGUGUGUGAUCACAAUGUGAGUCACACAUAGUAUAGGUCAGCAAUAGGUGUGAUCACAAUGUGAGUCAUACAUAGUAUAGGUCAGCAAUAGUGUGUGAUCACAAUGUGAGUCACACAUAGUAUAGGUAAGCAAUAGGUGUGAUCACAAUGUGAGUCACACAUAGUAUAGGUCAGCAAUAGGUGUGAUCACAAUGUGAGUCACACAUAGUAUAGGUAAGCAAUAGUGUGUGAUCACAAUGUGAGUCAUACAUAGUAUAGGUCAGCAAUGGUGUGUGAUCACAAUGUGAGUCACACAUAGUAUAGGUCAGUAAUAGUGUGUGAUCACAAUGUGAGUCAUACAUAGUAUAGGUCAGCAAUAGUGUGUGAUCACAAUGUGAGUCACACAUAGUAUAG
ensembl:lncRNA